GACUCAGAGAGGAAAGCUCAUUGGCCCAAGGUUGAUUUUAAUGCAUUUGAGCUACAAUCAUAUUUUAUUAUCUAGAAAAUGCCUUGAAGACAUCUGUGGACCUACAGACUUCCAGGGCUACUUUCUGCAUACAAAGGAGGCAUGAACAGGCCUUUCUACUCAGAAGUGGACUAAGGACUGCUUUCCCGCCUCGGGGUUUGUGAAAACAAGCCCUGCCCCUGCCCUGCAAGCC